GUGUUGACGCCGAACAUGAUGAUUUUCGGUAAAGCUAAUUAUCUUAUGGAGUUAUCACCUGAGGAUAUAGAAGAACGAGACCUGCGAAAGAGGACGAAGUAUUUGAAGUAAUGUAAGAACGCGUUGUGGCAACGAUGGAGAGGAGAAUUCAUGAGAGCACUUCGCAAAAGGCAUAAUUUAAUACGUGACGGAAAGAGAGAGCUAAGAAAGGUUGAUGUUGUGUUGAUUAAAUGUGACGGAAAGAAUCGUACACAGCGGAAAAUUGGGAUUGUUGAACAACUUAUACCCGGAGGAGAUGGAGUGGUUUGCGGAGUUAGACUGCGUGCAGGAAAAUGACCAGGGGCGAAACUAGCUUUUUUCAAU